GACCUUUCGGGGUUAGUGGCGGACGGGUGAGUAACACGUGGGAACGUGCCUUUUGGUUCGGAAUAGCUCCUGGAAACGGGUGGUAAUGCCGAAUGUGCCCUUCGGGGGAAAGAUUUAUCGCCAUUAGAGCGGCCCGCGUCUGAUUAGCUAGUUGGUGAGGUAAAGGCUCACCAAGGCGACGAUCAGUAGCUGGUCUGAGAGGAUGACCAGCCACAUUGGGACUGAGACACGGCCCAAACUCC
rnacentral:rRNA from 1 species